AAGUCGAGCGGACAGAUGGGAGCUUGCUCCCUGAUGUUAGCGGCGGACGGGUGAGUAACACGUGGGUAACCUGCCUGUAAGACUGGGAUAACUCCGGGAAACCGGGGCUAAUACCGGAUGGUUGUUUGAACCGCAUGGUUCAGACAUAAAAGGUGGCUUCGGCUACCACUUACAGAUGGACCCGCGGCGCAUUAGCUAGUUGGUGAGGUAACGGCUCACCAAGGCGACGAUGCGUAGCCGACCUGAGAGGGUGAUCGGCCACACUGGGACUGAGACACGGCCCAGACUCCUACGGGAGGCAGCAGUAGGGAAUCUUCCGCAAUGGACGAAAGUCUGACGGAGCAACGCCGCGUGAGUGAUGAAGGUUUUCGGAUCGUAAAGCUCUGUUGUUAGGGAAGAACAAGUGCCGUUCAAAUAGGGCGGCACCUUGACGGUACCUAACCAGAAAGCCACGGCUAACUACGUGCCAGCAGCCGCGGUAAUACGUAGGUGGCAAGCGUUGUCCGGAAUUAUUGGGCGUAAAGGGCUCGCAGGCGGUUUCUUAAGUCUGAUGUGAAAGCCCCCGGCUCAACCGGGGAGGGUCAUUGGAAACUGGGGAACUUGAGUGCAGAAGAGGAGAGUGGAAUUCCACGUGUAGCGGUGAAAUGCGUAGAGAUGUGGAGGAACACCAGUGGCGAAGGCGACUCUCUGGUCUGUAACUGACGCUGAGGAGCGAAAGCGUGGGGAGCGAACAGGAUUAGAUACCCUGGUAGUCCACGCCGUAAACGAUGAGUGCUAAGUGUUUAGGGGGUUUCCGCCCCUUAGUGCUGCAGCUAACGCAUUAAGCACUCCGCCUGGGGAGUACGGUCGCAAGACUGAAACUCAAAGGAAUUGACGGGGGCCCGCACAAGCGGUGGAGCAUGUGGUUUAAUUCGAAGCAACGCGAAGAACCUUACCAGGUCUUGACAUCCUCUGACAAUCCUAGAGAUAGGACGUCCCCUUCGGGGGCAGAGUGACAGGUGGUGCAUGGUUGUCGUCAGCUCGUGUCGUGAGAUGUUGGGUUAAGUCCCGCAACGAGCGCAACCCUUGAUCUUAGUUGCCAGCAUUCAGUUGGGCACUCUAAGGUGACUGCCGGUGACAAACCGGAAGAAAGGUGGGGAUGACGUCAAAUCAUCAUGCCCCUUAUGACCUGGGCUACACACGUGCUACAAUGGACAGAACAAAGGGCAGCGAAACCGAGGUUAACCAAUCCAAAUCUGUUCUCAGUUCGGAUCGCAGUGAACUCCACUGCUGAAACUGGAAUC
rnacentral:rRNA from 2 species